rfam:Gossypium hirsutum cultivar TM-1 unplaced genomic scaffold scaffold842.1, whole genome shotgun sequence
UCAGUGGAGUUUUUAGACUCCAUAAAUAUAAUUAGGAAAUUGAUG